rnacentral:tRNA from 1 species
GCCCCCGUAGCUCAGUGGAUAGAGCGACGGAUUCCUAAUCCGCAGGUCGCAAGUUCGAUCCUUGCCGGGGGCACCA